rnacentral:snRNA from 1 species
AGCUUUUUGCACAGUGACAAUAUCAUAGGCAAUGAGCUUUAUCUGAGGCACAAUUAUUGCUAACUGAAAACUUUUUCCAAUACCCUGCUAUGACAACUUAAAAUAUAGUUGGUGUGACAGUAUUAACUGUGGAUGUGACACA